CCAAGCCUGUGGUCUUUGAAAUCAAUUCGUCAGAUAUGAGCAGAAUUAGUGCUGGAUCAGACCGAAUUUAGCCUGAUGAAAAGGCGACUUGUGCCGUCGCCGCGGGAGCGCUGAUGUGUACAGGAGGAGGGGGAAAGAAACAAUAGAAAAUGCAUAAUGCUCAGAACAGUGGGAUCCCUGCUCCCUCUCCACCUGGGACUCAGUGUGGAGGAUCCCCUCUGACCAUAGCCCAAUUAAAUCCUGCACGCACACACACACACACCUACACACAGACACACACAUCUCCACGUGGAGUGACCCGCUUCCAUCAUGAAUAUGGAUGUGCUGGAAGUAUGUAAAUAAACCCUGGUCGGCUACAGACAGACAGAGAGACAGACAGACGAGCAGACAGACAGCCAGCAGCACAACAAAGAGGUGGAAGGAAAUGAGAACAAAGGACCAGCCCGGGUUGAAGCAGCACAGAUGCCUUUACUUCCAGCUUUGUAACAGCCAGAACCAGGGAGCACAUAUCUGGAUAUCUGCCACGAUAAAUUACUUAAUAUUACUGUAAUAUAUGUGUAUCUGACAUUAUUGGUGCUUUUGAUACAGCAUAGUGUGUUUUAGUCUUGUGCGUGUUUAUGUGUGUUCAUCUGCUUCAUCCACAACAAUAAAAAAAACCAUCAGAGCGAUAAACUCACAGCUCACUCAAUCACCCUCCCCAGUGCCUCUGGAUGUCUCAUCACGAGAGGCUGAGGGAAGGCAGAGCCGACGCCGAAGACGAAUGUGAUGUACAGACGAGGGGCUUGUAUCCUGGCAACGCGCCAUGGUUCCCACAUGCUGCAGGGAGAGAGAGGCCCUCAGGGGGGAGACAAUCUUCAACCUGCCUGCAGCAACCACACACACACACACACACACACACAUAAACAAACACACACCAGCGCAGCAGUCUGCUACACACAAGCAUGCGUGUGUAUACUAGAAAUUAUACUGACUAGAUGUUUGCACAUGUACAUACUAAAUACACACACAUGCGUGCAAAUGUUGGUGCACAUACUUCCACACAAAAUAAUUCAUAAUUGUAUGCCAGUGCACACACACACACACACACACACACACACACACCAGCCAACCAGCAUAAGGAGAGACUUACCUGUACACACAAAAACAUAUGCAAGGAUUCAUGCAUGCAUACUGUAUACACAGUAGCCACUGAGUAGACAGACGGAGGCUCCCAUUGCACACACACAUACACACAUUCCUCUUGAGUAGGCCUAUUAGGGAUGCUCUGAUUGGCGCCUCCAACACCAGACAGCUUCACUGAAGGUCCUGGUUUGCAAUCCUCUUUAUCUGAGCAUGCCGCAAAGGUUAUAACGUGUGUGUGGGAAUUUAACUUUGUGGAUUAGCUAAAUUGUGUCCUGCUUUUGUGUGUUUGGAUGACAUAACGCCGAUGUCAGCAGACUCAGGCAAACCUUCAUCCUUAUCCUCAUCCAUUCUAUCUACUUGUAUUUUAGGCAAACUAUCUGACUACUGGCUAGCUGGCCAUCAUUAGGAAUAGGUAGAAUUUAAGCUUGAUGAUUAGGUGUCCCCCACCAAAUUGUUCUCUAGGUGACCUCUGUCAAGCACUGUUGCUAAUUGUUUGUACUAACGGAGGUUUCUCCAUCUUUUCUGGACCUCUUCCACUAAACAGUAAAGCAGACCAAGGCAUGCACAUUACAUCAAAUCAACAGCCAAAGAUGUAACGUAUGCUGCUAGCUAGCAAUCGAGCUAUUAGCAAUUAUUCCAUGUGUAUAUAAUAACAGAAUUAAUUGAUGUAACACUAUUGUUUGUCAUUCAUGGUCAGGUUAUAUAUAAAAUAUAACUUUCACAAUAGCUAAUGUCCAUAGCAUAAUGUUGUCUAAUGCACUUGAAAAUGAAUGGUUCUCUAUGUGUUACCUUGACAACAAAGUAUGUUUAACCCUCUUGUAGGCAAGCCUCACCGUCACAAGCCAGUUCAACUGCUAUACUUUCCCAGAUACUUUCCCAGAUUCAUGUUGGCAGAAGUUGCCCAUUUAGACACAGAGCAACAUUAGCAUUUAUUUGGGGUUGUGUUUCUGGCUAAUAGCUCCAAUAUUCACUCUCUUUUUAGCUCUGAUUUGGUCUCCACCACCUCAUGAAGAAAAUACCUGGCUCUUUAGCUGCGAAAUGGUCCACUAUGUUCACCAGCUAGUCGCUAAUUUUGUCUGCUGUUUGAUACUGGACAGGUAGAGUAACGAACAGUUGGUAACCUAGUGGUUACUGUAACCAUCAUGACGAAGGUCCCCUAACCUUAACCUAAAGUUGCAAUUUUAACUCAAACCAUGAUCUUUCCCUAAACCUAACCAAACCUUAACCAUUGUGUUUAGGCACUGACAAAGAAUGUCUUCCUGCUGAUACAGGCAUCAGAUCAAAAAACGCUUAUAUGUGUCAUUCUAGAGGGCAUGGACAAGCAACGUACUUUGUUAUUUAAUUUGGAGGACUUGUUGGUUUGUCAUUAUGAGCGAUCCAUUUCAUAUUACACAAAGUUAUUUCUUGUGGUCCAACAGUAUUGAUUAGUGCAGGUUUAAUAUUAUCCCAACUCAAAAUCUGUUCAAACUACUACCAUGUGAAUAGUCAGUAUAAAUCUUAACAUGCAUACAGUGGUGCUACUGCUUCUUCUAUACCCACUGCAUCUAAUGUACAUGUAGACAAACAACCUCAGAGCCAUGUGUCUGACAAGGGCACAUGAUGACAUUCACUUUGCUGUGGAGGCUGCUGUUGGAUCGCCUCUUAAUUUGAAUAAUAAAACUUGGGGUCAUUUGUUUAAGCUCUAGCAGCGCAUACAGGUGCCCUGCGUACAUGCCAUCA